rnacentral:lncRNA from 1 species
CAGGUGCUUUGGAGCUGCUGGUGCCUGCUCAGAUGUUUGGAAACAGAAUGAAGAUGAUGCCAAGGAAAGAGGAAAGAAUCUGGACUAAAAGGAAGCUGGAUCCAAACCCUGGUUCUGCCAUGUCCCCCAAUAUAGCCCUGGAAUAAUCACUUGUGUGUUCAUUGAUUUACCUUCUCAUCCAGGAGGUGAAAAAUUAUUUCCCUUCAAAAAAAAAAAAAAGGUCCUGUAAGAAUUAAAGGAAACAAUGGAUUCUAAGUGAUUCCUACACCAUAAAAACAUAUCCUAAGAAUAAUGACUACAGUCGUGCCUACUUCCCGCCUCCUUCCUUGGCUAUGUAUUUGCUUCUAGCUGGUUGACAUAGCUCAGGUUGAAGUGGUGCAAGACAGGCAAUGAGAUACAAAGUGGAAUCCUGGGGGCAACCAUGGAGACAGACCAUAAAGUCUCUCUCAUUUGUGUCCGCUUUAUCUUGUUUUGGCCUUAGAAUGGUCCCCUGGCUAGUGACCAAUGGAUGAGUCUAUUCACACGAAGUGGAAGCAACAGUUUCUAUGAUUUGCCUCCUUAGAAGUAGGCACAAUAGGGUGUGACCACAGUGAAGCCAACCUGGAAAUCAGGUUUGAGAAUAAAAGUGAAAAGAGUUUGUCUUAUAGUACCUCUGUUUUGAGUCCUCCAUCAGACACUCAUUCCCCUAAUGUUUCACAUUGGAUUUAACUGUAAGCUUUUGUUGGCUAAUAUUACCACCUUAUAGUCUGGUAGAGCAUUUUAUAGCAGAACAUCAGAAAUGCCAGAAUCCUGUCAUAAAAUAGAGGACCAGGGACUGUCUAAGAAGUUUUAGCCCAACCCCAGAGCAAACCUACCAACCGGCCUGGUAAACUGGACUGAACUUCAUCCAAAGGUCUGACCUUCCUCCUUUCCUUCCUUUCUUCCUUUCUCUCUCCUCUCUCUCUCUCUCCCUCCCUCCCUCUUUCUUUGGAGAAAGAUUUCUUUUCUUAAAGUGGCUAGAUCUAGGUAAUUUAGUAGCUCAUAACUGUCAACAGCUGUCUGUGGGUUGUAUGUGAGUCACUG